AGUCCUUCUAGAGAUUGUGGGGGAACAACAGUGCCUUCUCUCUUUCCUCACUCAGGUCUUGUUAGUCCUUUGGAGACUUAGAAAAGCUGAGGAAGAACCACCUAGUUCACCCUAUCCCCCAGGUAACAAACAUUUACUAUAUUACUUUGUCAUUACUUUUGUGAGACAAGCACAGAAAGAAGAAAAGAGGAUGAGGAACACUAUUUGGGGACACUCAAGUCUCCAAAUGUGAAAUCAGGAGGGAAGCAUUGGACUGUGGUAGAAGCAAGCAGUUUGGCGUGGCAACUGACUUGGCCAUAUUUCUUCUCCUCCUCUUCACCCAUCACUUCCUUUCAUGGCUACAUUUUCUCGUCUCUCUUUUGUACUUUGUCUUCCUUCAGUUUGAUGAGUUUGUAUGAUGUAGUGAAUCAUUAAAAAGGAAAGCCAGCUGGGUGCAGUGGCUCAUGCCUGUAAUCCCAACACCUUGGGAAGCUGAGGUGGGCAGAUCACUUGAGCUCAGGAGUUCAAGACCAGCCCUAGUAAACAUAGUGAGACUCUGUCUCUGCAGAAAAUAGAAAACUUAGUCAGGUGUGGUGGGGCCCGCCUGUAGUCUUGGCUACUCAGGGCUGCAGUGAACCGAGAUUGCGCAGUGAACUGAGAUUGCACCACUCCACUGUAGCCUGGGUGACAGAGUGACAGUCUGCCUCAAAAAAAAAAAAAAAAAAAAAAAAAGCCAUUUGAUUCUUUCUCAUACACAAGCAGAACACACUGACCUUGUUAAGACUCCUGACACCAGUUGGCCAAGUCUCCUUUUCUUCCUUUUUUGUAAUUGUUCAGGCUAUUUGCCCAACAGGCAAAACACAAAAAAGACUUUCUUUUAUCUUCAGAUUGCAAUAAGUUCUGUGGUGUUCCUAUAUAACCGGUAGAGUCCUAGCAAGUUAAGAGAACUUAUCUUUUAACGAGAUUGAGAUCCUAAAAUGUUAGAGGGGUGUAUCCAUUAUUUGGUUGUUUGUUGUUUGUUAACUGGAUAAAAAUCUAGCCCAGAUCUUCCUUUUUUUUUUUUUUUUCUGAUUAGUAAAGACAAAGGUUUUCCUGGGAAAAUUCAGGCUGAGCAUCUUGUCUUAUUACUAGUGUUUACUAUCUGGAUCCAUCUAUUAGGAACAGAAAUUUUGACUCUAUUCUCUACAGAAAUUAUGAAUUUAGUUGGACAGAUACCAGUGUAUCAUGAGAACCCUGGGAAACAAACUGUUUCAAGGACAAAAGCAUUCCUCUGACUCAGUUUUUAGAUGAAGCUUAUAAAAUAGUCCUUAAGCCUUUAGCAAUUUGUCCUAAAUGAGGAUGAUUUAAAAGUCACUCACCUUGGGACUAUAUAUUGAAGGACAAUAAGUGAAACAGCAAUAAUAACAGGCAGUAAAUGUUGCAACAGUAAUAUCCUGGGUAAAAUCUGAUGUUUGAAAAAUACUGAAAACACAUUCUAUGUGUCAUAAAAUCUGUAUGACCUGCCCCCACCUACUGUCAACUUACCUUUCUUAACAGGUUUUAUCCUUAAGGUGGAAAACAAUCUUGGGCACCAGCUAUCUUAUUAAAAAAAAAAAGCCAGCCCUGCUCAAGAGAGAGGCUGGGGACCACAAGAGCUGUGGAAAAAAAAAACAACAAACAAACAAACAAACAAACAAAAAAACCCAACAUCCAAGGGUGUCAAGCAGGUGAGGAUGGCUGUAGGAAAGCUAAUGCCACUCUGGUCCUAAAUGAAUAGUCUCUAGCAUUUGAUAAACAUGUGCUGAGUCA
rnacentral:lncRNA from 1 species